rnacentral:lncRNA from 1 species
GCAAGAAAUACUCCUUUAUUUUUCGAUAACUAAUUUGUUUUGAUUACAGGGCCUCCAGGUGUUCCCACUAGACCUCUGGGUUAGGUGGGCCUGGGACCCACGGUGGAGGGGGCGGCUGUGUUUCAGCUGCCAGGCCUUGGUGUGACGCGUGGAGCCCCUCCUCCUGGAAGCUCCCAAGUUUUCUUUUAUUAUUAUUUUUUUUUAGAUUUAUUUAUUUAUUCAUGAGACACAGAGAGAGAGAGAGAGGCAGAGACACAGGCAGAGGGAGAAGCAGGCUCCCCGCGGGGUGCCCGGUGCGGGACUCGAUCCUGGAUCCCGGGAUCACGCCCUGAGCCGAAGGCAGGCGCCCAAACGCUGAGCCACCCAGGCGCCCCGGCUCCCAGGUUUUCAAACAGGCUUUCUUUUCUUUCUUUUUUUUUUUUUUGUAUAUUUUUGUAUUGAUUUUUUUUUUUUUUAUUGGAGUUUGCUUUGCCAACAUCUAGUAUCACACGGAGGGCUCCUCCCGUCCAGUGCCCCCCGCAGUGCCCGUCCCCCGUCCCCGCCGCCCUUCCCCUUGUUCAUCUCCCAGCUUAGGAGUCUCGGGGUCUCACACAGGCUUUGGGGGGCGGGGGGCAGCGGCCGGGCUGCGAGAGGCGCGGGGACCCGGAGCUCCGCGGCCGGGGAGCAGCGCACGCGCACGCGCAGGCUGCGAGCGGCUCCCGCCGGCUCCUCCCGCGGCGGUCGGUCCGGGGACGUUCUCCCCGCCGCGGGGGCGACUGUGACCCCCGGCGGAGGCCCGGGCGGGCCGGGUCCCGAUCGGUGCUGGCGGACGUCACCCUGCCAGGUUCGGUGGUUCUGCAGAGAAGUGAAGCAACUUGCCCAAGAUCACACAGACAGCAAGUGGACAGAGCCAGGAUUCAAACCCAGGAAGUCUGGCUCUGGAGUCCUUGCCCUUAGCCACCUUUCUCGGAAAGAUGCAAGUUACAUUAUUGCAACACAUGGGACAUGUACUCCUUGCAGUGGUUCUGGGAGAAAUCUCUGUCCAGAAAUCACGCCAGCUUGCUGUUUGAGAUGACUGCUGAAGAACUAGUCCAGUGAACCCACUUCAAAUGAGGUAAGGGAGCUGUGAUUGGGCCGCAUGACGACCAAUCAGCUGUCCUAAAACAAAGAUGCCUGGUUGCAAGCAAGAACUUUCCUUGUUAGCCCCAUUAAAAGCUGGAUAGUUUGGAUUUGAAGUGAAGAGGAAGGCUUGACUUGCCCUCCAGCUGCUGGGAGAAUCUUUUCAAGGAUCAGCUGUGGAGACCUGUAGGAUCAUCUAGUUUGUACACCUCUUCUUCUGCCUGGUUGGAAGGAAGACACCAGGGGAAGGCACUUUCCACCCACCACCCCGUCUUGCACCCCUGGUCUCCAGCACUCCCAUUAAGAUGUAAGUGGAUGAUCUGAGAUGAUCUGACUCUUACCUGCCCUUCACAGCAAGAAUCAGAAAACAAGGGUUCACUGAAUUGCAUUCUUGAGCAGAGGGCAGCAUCUUGGAUACUCUGAGAGUGUAGUUUCUGGCAUCAAACCCUCCCCAUCAGAAAUAGGCAGGCUCACAGGUGGUGGGAGCAUAAAAUUGGUACAACUCUUCUACAGGGCAACUUGGCAAAAUCUAUCAAAAUUAGAAAUGGGGAUACCCUUUGGACCAAUAAUUUCCCUUCUACAAAUACACUUUUCCAUAUUUGUGCAAAGUGGUGUGUGGACUCCAACAGUGUUGGUACUAGCACAAUAUUUGAAGCAACUUAAAGGAUGCUCCAGAGGGAAUAUAAGUAAAUAGUACCUCUAUACAAUGGGAUUCUAUACAGCCAUGGAAAAAGAAUUUUAAAACUCAUGCAUGGGGAUCCCUGGGUGGCGCAGCGGUUUAGCGCCUGCCUUUGGCCCAGGGCGCGAUCCUGGAGACCCGGGAUCGAGUCCCACAUCGGGCUCCCGGUGCAUGGAGCCUGCUUCUCCCUCUGCCUGUGUCUCUGCCUCUCUCUCUCUCACUGUGUGCCUAUCAUAAAUAAAUAAAAAAAUUAAAAAAAAUAAAUAAAACUCAUGCAUGAAUGUGAAAAGCUCCCCAAGACAUAUUGUGAAGUGUAGAAAAAGAAAAGGUAGAGUAGGAUUUGUACUGUUUGUACAAGUUGGCAAGACACUUGGAGAGGGAACGUGCAUAUGAAUGUGUGUGUGUGUGUGUGUGUGUGUGUAAGAAAAUAUCCCUGAAAGGUAACAUAAGGAAUGGGUAAUAUCAAUUGCCUACAGGGAAAGAAACCGUAUGAACUAUAUGGCUGGGGUUAGGAGUGGGAAGAAGUGUUCACUGGAUACCCUUUUAUACUUAGAAAAAGUGAGAUCAUGUGCAUCCAUCAUUUAAAAAUAAAUAUUUUUAAUAGAAAUAUAACUUGUCCGCACCACAGACUCAAAGAUCAUCUAACCAGAGCUGGGGAGGGAGGCAGUGGGAAUUGUGAUCUAUAAUUCUCUCACUAGAUUUGGGGAUGAAAAUGGGAGCAUGUUCGACUUCCUGGUAGUUUCCUUCCAGUGAAUAUCUUCCUACUUUCUCACAAUGAAGGAAAGGGAGGAAAUGCCCCCAGGCCAAACCAACCCUUGGUCGUUUCCAGUACCAUUGGGAAGGCAG